AUUUUUUAGUGCCAUAUUUUACCAACAUCUUAGAGUACAAGACCUGUUGCAAGGUUCGUGAAAUAGAAAAAAUAAAAAUAAAAAACAUAUAAUUAUUCGAUGUCAACAAAAUAAUAAAAUGAUAAUUAUAGAAUAUUUCAGCGUAAGAUAUAUGCAUAGAUUUUCUUCCAGAGUAAGAACAUAUUCUUCAUUCAUGGAGUAAGUGUACUCUCUUGGUUAUGUCACUCAUACAUUUGUCACACACAUCUUUCUACAUAUGUUGUUAAUACACAGCCACUUACGAUUCAAACUUGUUGGACAAUCAGCAUCCAUUGUACAUUUAAUAAGCUCUAUAAUAAUUAAAGACAAUAUAAGAAUGUUAUAAAAUAAAAUGAGAUAAAAGAUUGUGUACGAAAAAAAAACUAAAGAAAAUCCGGAAAGGAUUGAAAAAUAGCUUACCACCGUCAACGUUCAUUACAACAAGAAAUGGAGAAAGAAAUAUAAUUAUAGAAUAAAUAAACUUGAAUGUUUUAACCAUAUUUUUCUGCCUUUAUAUAU
rnacentral:lncRNA from 1 species